UACGUAGGGCGCAAGCGUUGUCCGGAAUUAUUGGGCGUAAAGAGCUCGUAGGCGGUUUGUCGCGUCUGCUGUGAAAACUCGAGGCUCAACCUCGGGCUUGCAGUGGGUACGGGCAGACUAGAGUGCGGUAGGGGUGACUGGAAUUCCUGGUGUAGCGGUGGAAUGCGCAGAUAUCAGGAGGAACACCGAUGGCGAAGGCAGGUCACUGGGCCGCAACUGACG
rnacentral:rRNA from 1 species